rnacentral:rRNA from 1 species
GAUGAACGCUGGCGGCGUGCCUAAUACAUGCAAGUCGAGCGAACGGACGAGAAGCUUGCUUCUCUGAUGUUAGCGGCGGACGGGUGAGUAACACGUGGAUAACCUACCUAUAAGACUGGGAUAACUUCGGGAAACCGUAGCUAAUACCGGAUAAUAUUUUGAACCGCAGGGUUCAAAAGUGAAAGACGGUCUUGCUGUCACUUAUAGAUGGAUCCGCGCUGCAUUAGCUAGUUGGUAAGGUAACGGCUUACCAAGGCAACGAUGCAUAGCCGACCUGAGAGGGUGAUCGGCCACACUGGAACUGGGACACGGUCCAGACUCCUACGGGAGGCAGCAGUAGGGAAUCUUCCGCAAUGGGCGAAAGCCUGACGGAGCAACGCCGCGUGAGUGAUGAAGGUCUUCGGAUCGUAAAACUCUGUUAUUAGGGAAGAACAUAUGUGUAAGUAACUGUGCACAUCUUGACGGUACCUAAUCAGAAAGCCACGGCUAACUACGUG